rnacentral:rRNA from 1 species
AACGAACGCUGGCGGCAUGCCUAACACAUGCAAGUUGAACGAGACCUUCGGGUCUAGUGGCGCACGGGUGCGUAACGCGUGGGAACCUGCCCUUAGGUUCGGAAUAACUCCCCGAAAGGGGUGCUAAUACCGGAUAAUGUCUUCGGACCAAAGAUUUAUCGCCUUUGGAUGGGCCCGCGUUGGAUUAGCUAGUUGGUAGGGUAAAAGCCUACCAAGGCGACGAUCCAUAGCUGGUCUGAGAGGAUGAUCAGCCACACUGGGACUGAGACACGGCCCAGACUCCUACGGGAGGCAGCAGUGGGGAAUAUUGGACAAUGGGCGAAAGCCUGAUCCAGCAAUGCCGCGUGAGUGAUGAAGGCCUUAGGGUUGUAAAGCUCUUUUACCCGGGAUGAUAAUGACAGUACCGGGAGAGUAAGCUCCGGCUAACUCCGUG